rnacentral:misc_RNA from 1 species
GGGUAUACCAACACUACCAUGUCCUCAACCAGCUACACGCAACAGCCUCAAGGAUUCACAGGAAAUCAGAUGCAGAAACCACCAUAUAACAUGGGACCCAUCACCAACAGGAGAGACUCAGGGGGGUACAACCGGCCAGGGUAGGUGCAUGAUAUAGUGGUCAUGAUGUGAGUUAUCUACCAUCAUAAAUACAUGUUCAAUACUGAAAAUGCUCAGAUGGAGUGACCCAGUCAAGGAAUCAAGCGGUCAAAACCUGAUAGCUAGAUAUUGAUGGGCAACAAGGAGGGAGAUAAGACUACCUCACAUUGUUUUGGGGAUCUGUGUCGAUCUGUUAAUCUGUGUUUUGUUUAUACAAAGAUUUGAUAAUACAUGUAUUAUGUGUACCUUAUACUGUAGUUGUCAAUGAGUGGUCAUACGAAUAGUACCAGCAUAGUUAUUUACAAUACUUGAAUGAAGUAUGAAUAUUAAAACAUUGCAAUACACAAAAAUUACUUACAUUAAAAGCAAGGUCAAAAAUAAAGUCCAUGAGAUAACAGUUACAAUUGAAGACUAAGUAUGUGGUUCCAAUGUGAAUAAAGAUCUUGCUAUUGAUAUUACCACACACAAGAUUGCCACCCUGCCUUCCCUUGUUGUAAGUUAGGGGUGACUUCUUUGUUAAGAUGCUAAACUUAGCCUCUAACCAUCCACCUUAAACUUCAAAGAC